GAGCGAGGAAAAAAUACAGGAGUAUGAAGAGCAAUAUAGACAGAUGUGUGCAAGAGAGAGGAAGCGAGUUCAAAGGGAAAAGGAGGAGACAGAACGACAGGAGCAGGAGGAAGCAGAGAGUAAGGAGAGGGAGAAAAUUGAAAGAGAAAAGCAGCGUUUGGAGGAGGAGUGGAUAAAAAGAGAAAAGCUGAGGUGUGAAAAGAUGGAGAGGAAAACCUUUGGUCUGCUUUCAAGAAUAUAUCUUUGGUGGCUCAAUGGCGACAAAAAAGCUUAGACAGGGGAAUCACAUCAACCAGUGUGGAUGAGCGCAACCUCCUGCGUCAUGGUCUCCUGAGAAAUCCAAGGAAGAUGGCAGAAUUAGAAAGGCUGCUUGACCGAAGGAGGGAGCUGGUCAUGUCCAAACGCAGA